CCUACGGGAGGCAGCAGUGGGGGAUAUUGCACAAUGGGGGAAACCCUGAUGCAGCGACGCCGCGUGUGGGAAGACGGUCCUCUGGAUUGUAAACCACUGUCGCCAGGGACGAAAAUGACGGUACCUGGGGAGGAAGCUCCGGCUAACUACGUGCCAGCAGCCGCGGUAAUACGUAGGGAGCAAGCGUUGUCCGGAUUUACUGGGUGUAAAGGGAGCGUAGGCGGGAUGGCAAGUUGGGUGUUAAAUCUCGCGGCUCAACUGGGAGUCGCACUUGAAACUGCUAUUCUUGAGUGAAGUAGAGGCAGGCGGAAUUCCUAGUGUAGCGGUGAAAUGCGUAGAUAUUAGGAGGAACACCAGUGGCGAAGGCGGCCUGCUGGGCUUUUACUGACGCUGAGGCUCGAAAGCGUGGGGAGCAAACAGGAUUAGAUACCCCGGUAGUC
rnacentral:rRNA from 1 species